AAGAUUUUGGUACUUUUCUAACAUACUAGAUGUAAAGUAUAUUUGUUAUCUGAUCAUUAAAAAUAGAAAACCAAUUUAUAAAGACUGUCCUUAAGAGAUCAGACUUUACAUUAUCCCGGGUACACAAGAUUUUAGUGUCACUGUUGACAAUGAUUUUCCAGAAAUGAGAUGUGUCAGUGCCCUACAACCAGUUUCCACAUUUAAAACAAAUAUCACGGCUUGGGUUUUGUUUUCAAGAUACAGAUUUCCCAAAAAGGGAAAAAAGUGCAUUCCAGCCGAUGCUGUGAACUCCUGCAAGUGUCCCCAUGAUGCCCAGCAGUGCACAAUGCCUCCAAAGGGGAAGCAAGACAGCCACUUUAGCAGGCAGGCAAGUUAAUUUAGUUUUGCCUGUUAAGCAGAGUUAGCCUAGAAGAACAGCCACGUGAUACCAGUUAUAACACUACUUCCACUUCAGCAGAUUGUAUACUUCUGGCCUCCCCCCUCUGAAAAGCACAUCUGGCUCCAACUACGAGGGUGGAUUGUACACCAAGUAAAACUUCCCACUUUGAAGUUGUUUCCAGAACCCACAGGGUUCACCUUGCCUUCAAGACUGCUCUUCUCCUGUUUAUUAUGAAUGACACUUGAUGAAGACAAAAAAGAUACAGUUGCUACAGAGCGCAAUCAAGUCUGCAACCUCUCUCAAUGAGGCAUUUUAGAUGG